rnacentral:rRNA from 1 species
GAUGAACGCUGGCGGCGUGCUUAACACAUGCAAGUCGAACGGAAAGGCCACAGCUUGCUGUGGUACUCGAGUGGCGAACGGGUGAGUAACACGUGGGUGAUCUGCCCUGUACUUCGGGAUAAGCUUGGGAAACUGGGUCUAAUACCGGAUAGGAAUCACAUGUGGGUGUGUGGUUGGAAAGCUUUUGCGGUAUGGGAUGAGCUCGCGGCCUAUCAGCUUGUUGGUGGGGUAAUGGCCUACCAAGGCGUCGACGGGUAGCCGGCCUGAGAGGGUGUACGGCCACAUUGGGACUGAGAUACGGCCCAGACUCCUACGGGAGGCAGCAGUGGGGAAUAUUGCACAAUGGGCGCAAGCCUGAUGCAGCGACGCCGCGUGGGGGAUGACGGCCUUCGGGUUGUAAACUCCUUUCGUCAGGGACGAAGCGAAAGUGACGGUACCUGGAUAAGAAGCACCGGCUAACUACGUG